GCCUACAUGAAGCUGGAGUUACUAGUAAUCGCAGAUCAGAAUGCUGCGGUGAAUGCGUUCCCGGGUCUUGUACACACCGCCCGUCACACCACGGAAGUUGGGGGCGCCCGAAGCCACUUAGCUAACCCUUUUGGGAAGCGAGUGUCGAAGGUGAAAUCAAUAACUGGGGUGAAGUCGUAACAAGGUAUC
rnacentral:rRNA from 1 species